rnacentral:rRNA from 1 species
AUUGAACGCUGGCGGCAUGCUUUACACAUGCAAGUCGAACGGUAGAGGGGGCAACCCCUUGAGAGUGGCGAACGGGUGAGUAAUGCAUCGGAACGUGCCCAGUAGUGGGGGAUAGUCCGGCGAAAGCCGGAUUAAUACCGCAUACGACCUUAGGGUGAAAGCGGGGGAUCGCAAGACCUCGCGCUAUUGGAGCGGCCGAUGUCAGAUUAGGUAGGUGGUGGGGUAAAGGCCUACCAAGCCGACGAUCUGUAGCUGGUCUGAGAGGACGACCAGCCACACUGGGACUGAGACACGGCCCAGACUCCUACGGGAGGCAGCAGUGGGGAAUUUUGGACAAUGGGCGCAAGCCUGAUCCAGCCAUGCCGCGUGCGGGAAGAAGGCCUUCGGGUUGUAAACCGCUUUUGUCAGGGAAGAAAUCUUCUGGGCUAAUACCCUGGGAGGAUGACGGUACCUGAAGAAUAAGCACCGGCUAACUACGUGCCAGCCGCCGCAGUAA